rnacentral:misc_RNA from 1 species
ACAGGCGUGUUUGUUAAAAGAUCAAUUAUUUUCAAAUUUGUAUAUUAGAGUCUUCAAUUUUGGUAAAUACAAUUCUUGAUUAUAAUUUGUAUAGUUUAAGAGAGAGAAAAAGAGAGAGAGGAGAUGUCAGCUGAUCUGGAAUCUAUAUCAGAAGCGACUUCUGGAGCCAUUGGAGCUCUAGUUAGCACUACUAUCUUGUACCCUCUUGAUACCUGCAAAGCUAAGUACCAAGCAGAGGUUCAAGCUCAUGGUCUCCGUAAAUACAGAAAUCUCUCUGAUGUUCUGGUGGAGGCAAUAUCAAAAGGUAAGAUACUGUCAUUGUACCAAGGUCUGGGAACCAAGAACUUGCAAUCUUUCAUUGCGCAGUUUGUGUAUUUCUAUGGAUAUAGCUACUUUAAGAGACUCUAUUUAGAGAGAAGUGGUUCCAAAUCCAUUGGAACAACAGCCAAUUUGCUAAUUGCAGCAGCAGCUGGAGCUUGUACAGCCAUAACAACUCAGCCACUGGAUACUGCUUCCUCAAGGAUGCAGACAAGCGCAUUUGGGAAAUCGAAGAGCCUUUGGAUAACACUUACAGAAGGUAGUUGGAGUGAAGCAUUUGAUGGCCUUGGGAUUUCUUUACUAUUGACAUCCAACCCUGCCAUUCAGUAUACAGUUUUUGAUCAGCUUAAACAACGAUUGCUGAAAGAUAAAGCGAAGACAACAGAGAAAGGCACAUCGCCUGUUGUACUUUCUGCAUUCUCUGCUUUUGUAUUAGGUGCACUGUCAAAGAGCAUAGCUACUGUUCUAACCUAUCCAGCGAUCAGGUGCAAGGUCAUGAUUCAAGCAGCAGACGAUGAUGACGAUAAGAAGGCUGAACCUAAAUCAAGUAAGACAAUAAGUAGUGUCAUAUGGUCUAUCUGGAAGAAAGAAGGAUUCUUGGGUUUCUUCAAGGGAUUACAUGCUCAAAUCCUCAAAACAGUGUUAAGCUCUGCAUUGCUUCUAAUGAUCAAGGAAAAGAUCUCUGCCACAACUUGGGUCCUCAUACUCUCACUUAGGAGAAUUCUGCUGCUCAGGCAGAGAAAGCUAAAAAGUGCUUAAAUUGUGAUCAUUUCAGCUCAAGUCCUGAGUAAAACAGGCUUAUUAUAUGAGAAAUCAGAAGAAAGAGAGUUCAUUGCAAGGUUGCAGUCUAAGUAGUUACUUCCAAUUACAGUCUGCAAGGUGCUCUAGCAGAAUGAUGAAUUUAGGAGAACAAUGUGGUAGCUUUUGGUCUUCAAAGAAGAGAAUAAUUUGACAAAGAAAUAUUUAUUUUUUUAACAACUUUAGAAUAAUGUGGUGAAAGAAUCUCUGGAACAAUUCUUUAGAAGAAAUAUUGGGGUUUUACUUCUGGCGGCGACAUGCUUGCACCUACUUUCAAA